AUUCACAUACCCGGAGUCAUAACAAGAAGAUAGAACACGAAAUUAACAUCACUUCAUCAUCAAAUUUCAUGAAUUUCAUUCAUUUUAGCUUAAAACUCAAAAACACCAACUCAACCUACUCAAACAUGCAUUUUGACACAACAACAACAUGGUUUCACAACUUUUAACAUACAUAAAAUAACCACAACAACUAGAGCACGAAAUUGACAUUACUUCAUCACAAAAUCCAUGAAAGUGAAAGAAAUCAUACAAUCCACAGCCGCACAAUUGCUCAUAAAUCCCAUGUGGUGAAAUUAAUCUAACCAAUGUGCCUCUUAAUUUUCAAAGCUAGCUUGCUACAAGCUUGAAUCUCCCUCUUCCCUUUGAUUCUUGAGCUUUCCUCAUUUCUCUCUCUAGAUCCCCUUUUUCUUCUCUCUAGCUUAUUGCUUGCCUCUUUCUCAAAACUUGACAAAUGAUUUUCUAACCCUAAAUCUUAAAGACUACCACCUAAAUCUUAAAGACUACCACUUAUUUAUAUCAACUUGUUUUGGGUUUGAUUCACUUAAUUCUUAUUGGACUUGGUCCCUAU
rnacentral:lncRNA from 1 species